rnacentral:lncRNA from 1 species
GUCUCUUCCUCCUCUUGUUUCUAUGGGGGAACAAAGAAGAACUAGUAAGAGAGACAAGAAGCGAGGAAUAAUUUCAGUGUAGAGAGAAGAAGCGAGGAAUAAUUUCAGUGUGUGGAUCUUAAGUUCGGUAGAGUCCUUCUCAGGACAAAUGAAAAAUAUUUACAGAUCCCUAAUCGAGUUACUUAUUUUUCCAUCUUUAACCUCAACUAAUCUCUGCAAUUUUUUUCACUUUAGGGAGGCUGCAAACCUGAAAAUUAAGCCCAAG